rnacentral:ncRNA from 2 species
CACGUGCUCCGGGGUCGGUGUAAUUCCGAGCCGGCGGUGACAGUCCGCGACCCGCGCCCUUCAGGUCCCUCCCGGGAUCAGGAGGCCGGUUGACCUGGUGGAAUUCCAGGACCGACGGUGAAAGUCCGGAUGGGAGGCGCACGUG